GACGAACGCUGGCGGCGUGCUUAACACAUGCAAGUCGAACGGAAAGGCCCUGCUUUUGUGGGGUGCUCGAGUGGCGAACGGGUGAGUAACACGUGAGUAACCUGCCCUUGACUUUGGGAUAACUUCAGGAAGCUGGGGCUAAUACCGGAUAGGAGCUCCUGCUGCAUGGUGGGGGUUGGAAAGUUUCGGCGGUUGGGGAUGGACUCGCGGCUUAUCAGCUUGUUGGUGGGGUAGUGGCUUACCAAGGCUUUGACGGGUAGCCGGCCUGAGAGGGUGACCGGCCACAUUGGGACUGAGGGACGGCCCAGACUCCUACGGGAGGCAGCAGUGGGGAAUAUUGCACAAUGGGCGGAAGCCUGAUGCAGCAACGCCGCGUGCGGGAUGACGGCCUUCGGGUUGUAAACCGCUUUCGCCUGUGACGAAGCGUGAGUGACGGUAAUGGGUAAAGAAGCACCGGCUAACUACGUG
rnacentral:rRNA from 1 species